rnacentral:rRNA from 1 species
UACGAAGGGGGCUAGCGUUGUUCGGAAUUACUGGGCGUAAAGCGCACGUAGGCGGAUUGUUAAGUUAGGGGUGAAAUCCCAGGGCUCAACCCUGGAACUGCCUUUAAUACUGGCAAUCUCGAGUCCGAGAGAGGUGAGUGGAAUUCCGAGUGUAGAGGUGAAAUUCGUAGAUAUUCGGAGGAACACCAGUGGCGAAGGCGAGUCCCUGGACAACUCCUGACACUGAUGCACGAAAGCUAGGGGAGCAAACAGG